CCUACGGGUGGCAGCAGUGAGGAAUAUUGGUCAAUGGACGAGAGUCUGAACCAGCCAAGUAGCGUGAAGGAUGACUGCCCUAUGGGUUGUAAACUUCUUUUAUAUGGGAAUAAAAUGUUCCACGUGUGGGAUUUUGUAUGUACCAUAUGAAUAAGGAUCGGCUAACUCCGUGCCAGCAGCCGCGGUAAUACGGAGGAUCCGAGCGUUAUCCGGAUUUAUUGGGUUUAAAGGGAGCGUAGGUGGAUUGUUAAGUCAGUUGUGAAAGUUUGCGGCUCAACCGUAAAAUUGCAGUUGAAACUGGCAGUCUUGAGUACAGUAGAGGUGGGCGGAAUUCGUGGUGUAGCGGUGAAAUGCUUAGAUAUCACGAAGAACUCCGAUUGCGAAGGCAGUUCACUGGACUGCAACUGACACUGAGGCUCGAAAGUGUGGGUAUCAAACAGGAUUAGAUACCCUAGUAGUU
rnacentral:rRNA from 1 species